UAAUGGUGUACUUUAUAAAGUUAUUUUAUGAAAUUCAUUUCUUUUCAACUUUAUUCUUAGAACAUUUAAAUUAUACAAUACUGAAUAGAUCUGUUUAUUGGAUUAUAUUUUUAUGACUAGGAUAAAUCAACUUUUAAAUACUAAAUUUUAAUAACUAUUUUUAAAUUCUGCAAUUUAGAAUAAUCUCCUUUUUGUUACUAUUUCAUUUCUUUAAAGUUCUGUUUUUAACUUCUUGUUUUUUUUGGGGGGGGUACCAGAGAUUGAACUCAGGCACUCAACCACUGAGCUUCAUCCCCAGCCCUAUUUUGUAUUUUAUUUAGAGAUAGGGUCUCACUGAGUUGCUUAGUGCCUCACCAUUGCUGAGGCUGGCUUUAAACUUGUGAUCCUCCUAUCUCAGCCUCCCGAUCUGCUGGGAUUAUAUGCAUGCACCACCGUGCCCAGCUAACUUCUUAUUUUUGAAAUAAAUUCAACUUUGUGGGAUAUCUUAAUGUCUUCUUUUAGUUCAGUCUUCAUGAAACCAGAAUUUGUAUAAGUUUGAAAGAUAUUCAUAUGCUGGUAUAUUUGAGGUGAUUGUGUGUGUGUGUGUUAAACUGUCAGGAGAGGAAAAUGUGAGGCAGUAAGGCAAUUUUUAUAAACUUUUUUCACCCUCAUGGAAUUAUAUAAACAUUUUCAUGUCUAAAAAUAAAGUUGAUGAAAUUAGCCAACAACAAGCAGAAGGUCAUGACUAUAAUUCAGUCUACUAUAGCUAUUAUUAUUAUGGCAUUGUACAUAUGGUUCCCUUGCAUGGCUCAUUUUUUCUAAUACCUACCCCUUUUCUUUCAAUUCUGUACCUCUACAUUUAUCUCACCAGAAUGAAUGAAUGGGUCUCUUGUUCUUGUUUCAAGGAAGGUAUUACAGAGUUUGGGAGCAAGCUUUGCCUAUAAAGUAACCUGUUGGGUUUCUAGAAAACAUAACAGGAUAUAUUUUUCCUUGGCCUGGUCUUACCCAUGCAGGUACUCCUUUGGAAACCAACUGACUCUUCUACAGUUGUGUGCAUGAGACAUCUAGGGGUUAGACUUCUGAAGCUAAUUUUUAUGCAACUGCCAAAAAUUUCCAAAUUUAGUUGAAAAUUUCACUCCUACCAUAAUCAUCUUGGCUCAGGUCUUAAGAUUUUCUACUUAUUUGAUUCCUUUGCUGUCCACUCCCAGGAACCUUUCCACUACUUAUUUUAAAAAGCCAAGUAGAGGUGACACACACCCAUAAUCCCAGCCCUCAGGAGGCUUAGGCAGGAGCAUCAAAAGUUCAAGGCCAGCCUCAGUAACUUAGUGAGACCCUGUCUCAAAUUUAAAAAUUAAGGACUAGGGAUGUAGCACCCCUGGGUUAAAUCCUGAGUACCAAAGUGUUAGAGUCUGUAAACAAGUCAGGAUGGCGCCUGGCAAAUGUUAGAGUCUGUAAACAAAAUGUAAACAUUUUGCCAGAGGGAGUGGUUUGUGAAGUAACUGCCAGCGAGCGGUUAAGUGUGGAGAGUCCUUAUUGGUUGACUGCUGUAUCGAGUUUAUGCUAAUUAAGAUAAGUUGUGUAAAAUGUAUAAAUACCUCUGUUGUCCUAUAAUAAACGGCUCCCAUUCCUGCUGUAUCAAUGUACACAAGUUGUUCGUCACCCCCCGGUUAUUUUGCUGCAGCCGGACUGCGGCACCAAAGGAAAAAGGAAUUUUUUAAAAAUCAGGUAGAAAGAAAAGCCCUUUCAAAAAUGAGGGAGAAGCUGGGUGUGGUAGCACAGGGGCUAAGGGGGCUGAGGCAGGAGGAUCCCAAGUUCAAAGCCAGCCUCAGCAACUUAGAGAGGCCCUAAGAAACUCAGUGAGAUCCUGUCUCUAAAAUAAAAUACAAAACAGGGCUGGGAAUGUGGCUCAGUGUUUGAGUGCGCCUGAGUUCAAUCCCUGGUACCAAAAAAAGGGCGGGGGGAGAUUAGCUAUUUUAGUCAGCUUUUUCUCAGCUGUGACCAAAGGACCUAAGAAGAACAGUUUUAGAGGGGGGAAAAGUUUAUUUGGGGGUUCACAAUUUCAGAGAUCUCAGUCCAUAGACCACUGGCUCCAUUUCUCAGGGCUUAAGUGAAACAGAACAUCACAGCAGAAGAAUGUGGUAGAGGGAAGCAACUCAAGACAUCACCACAGGAAGCAGGGAGAGAAAGAGCUUCGCUAAACAAGGACAAAUGUUGACCCCAGAGGUAUGCCCUAAAUGACCUACCUCCUCCAGCCAUACCCUACCUGCCUACAGUUACCACCCACUUAAUUCCUAUCAGAGGAUGAACACACUGAUUAGGUUAAGAUGUUCUUAACCCAAUCAUUUUACCUCUAAGCCUUCCUGCAUUGUCUCACACAUGAGUUUUUUGGGAACACCUAAUAUCGAAACCAUAAUAUUAGCUAACACAGAGCACCCUAUAAUAAUGCUUGUACAUCCCUUUUAAAACUUUCCAAAAUAACUUUCAUAUCUUUAAGUUUUUAUAUUUAUUUCAAACUUAAGGUAAACAAGAAGACAGGGAAUAACCCCAUUUAAGAGGGAAAUUAUUGAGGAAAUAGGAAAGUUUAAAAAAAAACUGUCUAAUAUCACUGAUGCAGCCUGUAUGUAGCAGUCAGAACAGAGCUGUGCUUUCUCCUGGACUCUGUCAAUAUCAGUGGAUGCAAUUAACAGCCCAUACCUCCUAGCAAAAAUUGAGGGAACAUCUUUUUUGACACAGUUUGGUUUUAAAAUUCCUCCAUAGUGCAAACUUGAUUAAAAAGAUGUUUCUGAGACAUUAUAGGAAUUAUAACUUUUCUGUUCAUAGACAAUUUUUGCUUCUAUUUAAUUUCCCCUAUUAAAGUGUUUAAAUGAAUCCAGAGCUAAUUUGUAUUUAGUUCUGUUUUGUUGUAAAAUACCUGGAAAUCCAAAAAAAGGAGCCCCUUUUCCUUUGAAAAUGGAUGUCUAUCUUUUAUAAUAAAGCUUCACAGAUCCUUAAAGUCAUUGUCC
rnacentral:lncRNA from 1 species